rnacentral:rRNA from 1 species
CCUACGGGUGGCUGCAGUGGGGAAUAUUGGGCAAUGGGCGCAAGCCUGACCCAGCAACGCCGCGUGCAGGAAGAAGGCUCUCUGGUUGUAAACCUCUUUUUUGGGGGACGUACACAUGACGGUACCCCAGGAAUAAGCCACGGCUAACUACGUGCCAGCAGCCGCGGUAAUACGAAGGUGGCAAGCGUUAUCCGGAUUUAUUGGGUGUAAAGGGAGUGUAGGCGGGAAGGCAAGUCAGAUGUGAAAACUAUGGGCUCAACCCAUAGACUGCAUUUGAAACUGUAUUUCUUGAGUGCUGGAGAGGCAGUCGGAAUGCAGGGUGUAGCGGUGAAAUGCGUAGAGAUACGGAGGAACACCGGUGGCGAAGGCGGAUUGCUGGACAGUAACUGACGCUGAGGCGCGAAAGCGUGGGGAGCAAACAGGAUUAGAUACCCCAGUAGUC